rnacentral:rRNA from 1 species
UACGUAGGGGGCAAGCGUUGUUCGGAUUUACUGGGCGUAAAGCGCGUGUAGGCGGCUUUGCAAGUCGGAUGUGAAAGCCCACGGCUCAACCGUGGAAGUGCAUCCGAAACUGCAUGGCUGGAGUCCCGGAGAGGAAGGUGGAAUGCUUGGUGUAGAGGUGAAAUUCGCAGAUAUCAAGCAGAACACCUGCGGCGAAGGCGGCCUUCUGGACGGUGACUGACGCUGAGACGCGAAAGCGUGGGGAGCAAACAGG